rnacentral:misc_RNA from 1 species
UCCCUCGUGAGAGGGCAGUCUCGCCUGACAUAUAUAACAGGCAACGGGGGUUGCGUUCGUUACCCCACUGAAGGGAACAGUUCAAACCACGAACUGACGACGACCAUGCAUCACCUGUCCAACACCCUCGAAGGCUCCCUCCCUUUCGGGUGGGAUGCAGUUGGAUUUCUAAUCUUGGUAAGGUUCUUCGCUUGUCGACGAAUUAAGCCACAUUAUCCACCCCUUGUGCGAGUCCCCGUCUAUUCAUUUGAGUUUUAAGCUUGCGCUCGUACUACCCAGGCGGCUCGCUUACCGCGUUAGCUUAGUCCCGCAGAGGGUCGAUACUCCGCAGAACGAGCGAGCAACGUUUAGGGCUAGGACUA